GCCUGGGGAGUACGGGUGAGGUAACGGCUCACCAAGGCAUCGACGGGUAGCUGGUCUGAGAGGAUGAUCAGCCACACUGGGACUGAGACACGGCCCAGACUCCUACGGGAGGCAGCAGUAGGGAAUAUUGCACAAUGGGCGAAAGCCUGAUGCAGCAACGCCGCGUGCGGGAAGAAGGCCCUAGGGUUGUAAACCGCUUUCAGCAGGGAAGAAAAUGACGGUACCUGCAGAAGAAGGUGCGGCCAACUACGUGCCAGCAGCCGCGGUGACACGUAGGCACCAAGCGUUGUCCGGAUUUAUUGGGCGUAAAGAGCUCGUAGGCGGUUCAGUAAGUCGGGUGUGAAAACUCUGGGCUCAACCCAGAGACGCCACUCGAUACUGCUGUGACUCGAGUGCGGUAGGGGAGCGGGGAAUUCCUAGUGUAGCGGUGAAAUGCGCAGAUAUUAGGAGGAACACCAGUGGCGAAGGCGCCGCUCUGGGCCGUAACUGACGCUGAGGAGCGAAAGCGUGGGUAGCAAACAGGAUUAGAUACCCUGGUAGUCCACGCCGUAAACGUUGGGCACUAGGUGUGGGUCUCAACCAACGAGAUCCGCGCCGUCGCUAACGCAUUAAGUGCCCCGCCUGGGGAGUACGG
rnacentral:rRNA from 1 species